UCUCACCACUGGAGACACCUAUCCUUCUUUGUAGCACUCUUCCUUUCUCUGUCGGGUGGAGUAGCUUGGAUGUUGGAAAGAUUAAAGGGUUGGAAGAAAGAAUAUUGUUAUCUCUGGGCACUUCCACUCACCUCAGUCUCCUUCUUAUUCUCUCAGCCAUUCCCCUUGCUAUGCAACAGGAACUCCACUGAAGUCAAUGGCGUGAUUCUGGAUUGACCCUGACGUCAAAGACAUCAGAAUUUCCCUCCUCCAUUAUGAUCUCUUUAC